ensembl:lncRNA
AACAGCCGCCACAGCCACGAGGAGUGUCCAUCCAGAGGGGGCUGGCCUGAUGGGGGCAAGGACCUUCGGUCUAGGAACGACCCCUGAGAUGACCUUGAGGAGAGGGAGCCGGAAGGCUCAGUCCCUCCUCCACUUCCCCCUUCACCCCUUUUCCUCCAGGGCUCAUUGGGUGAACUCAACUGAGAAUCCCCAUGAACAGAGGAGCCUGGCAGGUGGCAAUCCAUUGGAUCGCAGAGAGUCGGACACAACUGAGCAACUAAGCACAGAGCAGCACCUGGGGGAAAUUUCAAGGUAACAUAAGCCAGCUUGGCUGAGAGAUGCCUAGUUAAGAGAGAUGGACAAGCCACAGUUACCAUCACAUCAACUUUUCAACUCCUGCGAUAAUGUGCAACUACCUGGAUCGAUAAUUCUGUGGACCAGUUUCCUAUUAUUAAUCAUGCUGACAUUAGAAGGAAACUCAGAUGAAAGGGAGUUUGUGAACAGGGUACUGAAUGGCAGCCAAGUUGAACCAUCAAGCACACAUGUGGUCAGCUCCUCAUGGAUGAUCUUUCGAAGCACGCUGUCUGCCUGACAUCAUGGGAAAAAUCUUCUUUUUCUUUUCUGAGUAAACAGUCUGAUUCCCUGGGACAUAUUUUAUGUUGCCUUCUCUUCUAAAGAACUUAAAGAAGGAAUGUUUUAGAGCCGAUUAAAUUUAUAAGAAAUGGUCAUGACGUACAGCUGAAAAAUAAAAAAACUCCUGCUGGUCUGAUUCCUUUUUACCUGUUCAUUCAUUCAGUAAUAUUACGGAUUAUCUAUUAUGUGUAAUUGUGCAACAGAG